AUUGAACGCUGGCGGCAGGCCUAACACAUGCAAGUCGAACGGUAACAGGAAGCAGCUUGCUGCUUCGCUGACGAGUGGCGGACGGGUGAGUAAUGUCUGGGAAGCUGCCUGAUGGAGGGGGAUAACUACUGGAAACGGUAGCUAAUACCGCAUAAUGUCGCAAGACCAAAGAGGGGGACCUUCGGGCCUCUUGCCAUCGGAUGUGCCCAGAUGGGAUUAGCUUGUUGGUGGGGUAACGGCUCACCAAGGCGACGAUCCCUAGCUGGUCUGAGAGGAUGACCAGCCACACUGGAACUGAGACACGGUCCAGACUCCUACGGGAGGCAGCAGUGGGGAAUAUUGCACAAUGGGCGCAAGCCUGAUGCAGCCAUGCCGCGUGUAUGAAGAAGGCCUUCGGGUUGUAAAGUACUUUCAGCGGGGAGGAAGGGAGUAAAGUUAAUACCUUUGCUCAUUGACGUUACCCGCAGAAGAAGCACCGGCUAACUCCGUGCCAGCAGCCGCGGUAAUACGGAGGGUGCAAGCGUUAAUCGGAAUUACUGGGCGUAAAGCGCACGCAGGCGGUUUGUUAAGUCAGAUGUGAAAUCCCCGGGCUCAACCUGGGAACUGCAUCUGAUACUGGCAAGCUUGAGUCUCGUAGAGGGAGGUAGAAUUCCAGGUGUAGCGGUGAAAUGCGUAGAGAUCUGGAGGAAUACCGGUGGCGAAGGCGGCCCCCUGGACGAAGACUGACGCUCAGGUGCGAAAGCGUGGGGAGCAAACAGGAUUAGAUACCCUGGUAGUCCACGCCGUAAACGAUGUCGACUUGGAGGUUGUGCCCUUGAGGCGUGGCUUCCGGAGCUAACGCGUUAAGUCGACCGCCUGGGGAGUACGGCCGCAAGGUUAAAACUCAAAUGAAUUGACGGGGGCCCGCACAAGCGGUGGAGCAUGUGGUUUAAUUCGAUGCAACGCGAAGAACCUUACCUGGUCUUGACAUCCACGGAAGUUUUCAGAGAUGAGAAUGUGCCUUCGGGAACCGUGAGACAGGUGCUGCAUGGCUGUCGUCAGCUCGUGUUGUGAAAUGUUGGGUUAAGUCCCGCAACGAGCGCAACCCUUAUCCUUUGUUGCCAGCGGUCCGGCCGGGAACUCAAAGGAGACUGCCAGUGAUAAACUGGAGGAAGGUGGGGAUGACGUCAAGUCAUCAUGGCCCUUACGACCAGGGCUACACACGUGCUACAAUGGCGCAUACAAAGAGAAGCGACCUCGCGAGAGCAAGCGGACCUCAUAAAGUGCGUCGUAGUCCGGAUUGGAGUCUGCAACUCGACUCCAUGAAGUCGGAAUCGCUAGUAAUCGUGGAUCAGAAUGCCACGGUGAAUACGUUCCCGGGCC
rnacentral:rRNA from 1 species